GAUGAACGCUGGCGGCGUGCCUAAUACAUGCAAGUCGAGCGAACAGACGAGGAGCUUGCUCCUCUGACGUUAGCGGCGGACGGGUGAGUAACACGUGGAUAACCUACCUAUAAGACUGGGAUAACUUCGGGAAACCGGAGCUAAUACCGGAUAAUAUAUUGAACCGCAUGGUUCAAUAGUGAAAGACGGUUUUGCUGUCACUUAUAGAUGGAUCCGCGCCGCAUUAGCUAGUUGGUAAGGUAACGGCUUACCAAGGAAACGAUGCGUAGCCGACCUGAGAGGGUGAUCGGCCACACUGGAACUGAGACACGGUCCAGACUCCUACGGGAGGCAGCAGUAGGGAAUCUUGCGCAAUGGGCGAAAGCCUGACGGAGCAACGCCGCGUGAGUGAUGAAGGUCUUCGGAUCGUAAAACUCUGUUAUGAGGGAAGAACAAAUGUGUAAGUAACGAUGCACGUCUUGACGGUACCGAAGCAGAAAGCCACGGCUAACUACGU
rnacentral:rRNA from 1 species